GGAAGUGGAUAAAAGCUGGUGCUUUUAGCAGUCUUCAAAACUGUCUUGGCGAUUAACUCGUUGGUAGGUUCGAUUCCUACACACUUCCGCCA
rnacentral:tRNA from 3 species